rnacentral:rRNA from 1 species
GAUGAACGCUGGCGGCGUGCCUAAUACAUGCAAGUCGAGCGAACAGACGAGGAGCUUGCUCCUCUGACGUUAGCGGCGGACGGGUGAGUAACACGUGGAUAACCUACCUAUAAGACUGGGAUAACUUCGGGAAACCGGAGCUAAUACCGGAUAAUAUAUUGAACCGCAUGGUUCAAUAGUGAAAGACGGUUUUGCUGUCACUUAUAGAUGGAUCCGCGCCGCAUUAGCUAGUUGGUAAGGUAACGGCUUACCAAGGCAACGAUGCGUAGCCGACCUGAGAGGGUGAUCGGUCACACUGGAACUGAGACACGGUCCAGACUCCUACGGGAGGCAGCAGUAGGGAAUCUUCCGCAAUGGGCGAAAGCUUGACGGAGCAACGCCGCGUGAGUGAUGAAGGUCUUCGGAUCGUAAAACUCUGUUAUUAGGGAAGAACAAAUGUGUAAGUAACUAUGCACGUCUUGACGGUACCUAAUCAGAAAGCCACGGCUAACUACG